rnacentral:rRNA from 1 species
GUGGGGAAUAUUGGACAAUGGGCGCAAGCCUGAUCCAGCCAUACCGCGUGGGUGAAGAAGGCCUUCGGGUUGUAAAGCCCUUUUGUUGGGAAAGAAAUCCUGUCGAUUAAUACUCGGUGGGGAUGACGGUACCCAAAGAAUAAGCACCGGCUAACUUCGUGCCAGCAGCCGCGGUAAUACGAAGGGUGCAAGCGUUACUCGGAAUUACUGGGCGUAAAGCGUGCGUAGGUGGUGGUUUAAGUCUGCUGUGAAAGCCAUGGGCUCAACCUGGGAAGUGCAGUGGAUACUGGAUCACUAGAGUGUGGUAGAGGGAUGCGGAAUUUCUGGUGUAGCAGUGAAAUGCGUAGAGAUCAGAAGGAACAUCCGUGGCGAAGGCGGCAUCCUGGGCCAACACUGACACUGAGGCACGAAAGCGUGGGGAGCAAACAGGAUUAGAUACCCUAGUAGUCC